UGAAGAAGCGUGAUUUCUAAUCUACUUCUAAUCCACCGUUACCAAAUCACAUAUUAAGUUGCUUACUUCUUCAAUGGUUCAGGACGAGUUGAUCUGUAAUUAUGGACACAGGUCGGUCAACGUGUAUUUGAUGCUUGGUUGCACCAGCUGACAGAAUGAACGUCUAUGCGAGUCCAUUCUGCGUACGUGUAUACCUCAUUGGGAGGUCCUCCCUCUCAACAUCUUCAAGACUAAUUUCAUGCAGCUGCAUUCAUUAUUCAUUCAACACGACCCAUGCCAUGCAUGUGCCAUUUCUUGGUGCGACACAUAACGUGGAACUAGCUUAGCCAAAGGACAAAUUCAGUCUAAGCCAGCUUCCGCUCUAACUGGAUAAGGCAUGUGCCGACAUUCUUCGAGUCGGCGCCUGUUGGCACGUGAAUCGUGAUCAUUUCUUUUAACUGUGACAUUUAACGUCGUCAUGGGAUGAACAUGGAUUGAAGUCAAAAAAAGAAAAAAAUUAAAAAAAAAGGAUUUAAAGAGGAUGGUUUGACUUCUAAAUCUUCGUUAGACUGUUUGCUGUCAUUAAUUGCACACUAGCUAGCGUGGGAAUGGACACACUUGAAUUUCCAAUUACUAAACACGGUCGUUUUGUAUUAACUUAG
rnacentral:lncRNA from 1 species